rnacentral:rRNA from 1 species
AUUGAACGCUGGCGGCAUGCCUUACACAUGCAAGUCGAACGGUAGAGGGGGCAACCUCUCGAGAGUGGCGAACGGGGGAGUAAAGCAUCGGAACGUGCCCAGUAGUGGGGGAUAGCCCGGUGAAAGCCGGAUUAAUACCGCAUGAGACCUACGGGUGAAAGGGGGGAUCGCAAGACCUCUCGCUAUGGGAGCGGCCGAUGUCAGGUUAGGUAGUUGGUGGGGUAAAGGCCUACCAAGCCGACGAUCGGUAGCUGGUCUGAGAGGACGACCAGCCACACUGGGAAUGAGACACGGCCCAGACUCCUACGGGAGGCAGCAGUGGGGAAUUUUGGACAAUGGGCGAAAGCCUGAUCCAGCCAUGCCGCGUGCGGGAAGAAGGCCUUCGGGUUGUAAACCGCUUUUGUCAGGGAAGAAAUCCUUUGAGUUAAUACCUCGGGGGGAUGACGGUACCUGAAGAAUAAGCACCGGCUAACUACGUGCCAGCAGCCGCCGUAA